AGGCGGGUAUCCUGAGUAGGCCGGGACAGGAGAAAUCCCGGUUGAAUCUGCCGGCACCAUCCGGUAAGGCUAAAUACUCCUGAGAGACCGAUAGUGAACGAGUACCGUGAGGGAAAGGUGAAAAGUACCCUGAAUAAGGGGGUGAAAUAGAACCUGAAACCGUGCGCUUACAAGCGGUCGGAGCCCUUUAGUGGGGUGACGGCGUGCCUUUUGCAUAAUGAGCCUACGAGUUGCACCUCUUUGGCGAGGUUAAUUCCGUUGACGGGAGCAGCCGGAGCGAAAGCGAGUCUGAAAGGGCGUAUAGUCAGAGGGGGCAGACGCGAAACUUAGUGAUCUACCCAUGGCCAGGCUGAAGUUGUGGUAACACACAAUGGAGGGCCGCACCGAUAAGCGUUGAAAAGCUUCCGGAUGAGCUGUGGGUAGGGGUGAAAGGCCAAUCAAACUGAGAAAUAGCUCGUACUCCCCGAAAUGUUUUUAGGAACAGCGUCGUGGAUUGUAUGAUGGAGGUAGAGCUACCGAUAGGACUAGGGGGAGUCACAUCCUACCAAAUCCUGACGAACUCCGAAUGCCAUCAUAGAGAAACGGCAGUGAGGGCUGGGGUGCUAAGGUCCCAGUCCGAGAGGGAAAGAACCCGGACCUACCGCUAAGGUCCCGAAAUUUAGGUUAAGUUGAACAAAGGUGGUCCAGUUGCAGAGACAGCCAGGAGGUUAGCUUGGAAGCAGCUAUUCCUUUAAAGAGUGCGUAACAGCUCACUGGUCGAGCGACAGGGCGUCGAUAAUAAUCGGGCAUCAAACCUAAUACCGAAGCGUAGGAUUGGCAGUAAUGUCAGUGGUAGGGGAGCAUUCCAACGGCGGUGAAUGCACAUGGUGAUGUGUGCUGGAGCUUUUGGAAAAGCAAAUGUAGGCAUAAGUAACGAUAAUGGGGGCGAGAAACCCCCACACCGUAAGACCCAGGUUUCCUGAUCAACGCUAAUCGGAUCAGGGUUAGUCGGGUCCUAAGGCGCACCCGAGAGGGGCAGCCGAUGGCAAACGGGUUAAUAUUCCCGUACUGGACAUGCAGGUGAUGGAGUGACGGAGUGGUGAAAGGCCCGCCCGGUGACGGAAUACCGGGUUGAAGGGAGUAGGUAUUGGACCCAUAGUUAAAUGCGUGGGUUUAGCCGAACCUGACAGUACCGAGCGUCCUUGGACAAUCGGAUAGUGGCCCUAAAAGCUUCCAAGAAAAACUUCUGGCCUACCCGUACCGCAAACCGACACAGGUGGUCGAGGAGAGUAUCCUAAGGUGCUCGAGUGAAUCAUGGCUAAGGAACUCGGCAAAAUGGCCCUGUAACUUCGGGAGAAGGGGCGCCCCGCAGGAAUGCGGGGCCGCAGUGAAGAGGCCCAGGCGACUGUUUAACAAAAACACAUGGCUUUGCGAAGUUGAAAGACUAGGUAUAAGGCCUGACACCUGCCCGGUGCCGGAAGGUUAAGAGGGGAUGUUAUCGCAAGAGAAGCAUUGAAUCGAAGCCCCGGUAAACGGCGGCCGUAACUAUAACGGUCCUAAGGUAGCGAAAUUCCUUGUCGGGUAAGUUCCGACCUGCACGAAUGGUGUAACGAUCUGGGCACUGUCUCAGCCAUGAGCUCGGUGAAAUUGUAGUCGCGGUGAAGAUGCCGCGUACCCGCAACGGGACGGAAAGACCCCAUGAACCUUUACUGCAGCUUAGCAUUGGUACUGGGCAAACGAUGUGUAGGAUAGGUGGGAGACUGUGAAGCGGCGUCGCCAGGCGUUGUGGAGUCACCGUUGAAAUACCACCCUUUGUUUGUCUGGUAUCUAAUCCCGGUUCGGGAGACAUUGCUUGGUGGGUAGUUUGACUGGGGUGGUCGCCUCCAAAAGGAUAACGGAGGCUUCCAAAGGUUCCCUCAGCACGCUUGGUAACCGUGCGUGGAGUGCAAUAGCAUAAGGGAGCUUGACUGUAAGGCCGACAAGCCGAGCAGGGUGGAAACACGGGUAUAGUGAUCCGGCGGUACUGUAUGGAAGGGCCGUCGCUCAAAGGAUAAAAGGUACUCUGGGGAUAACAGGCUGAUCUCCCCCAAGAGCUCAUAUCGACGGGGAGGUUUGGCACCUCGAUGUCGGCUCGUCACAUCCUGGGGCUGGAGAAGGUCCCAAGGGUUGGGCUGUUCGCCCAUUAAAGUGGCACGCGAGCUGGGUUCAGAACGUCGUGAGACAGUUCGGUCCCUAUCUGUUGCGGGCGUGGGAAGUUUGCGAGGACCUGACCUUAGUACGAGAGGACCGGGUUGGACUGACCGCUGGUGUACCGGUUGUGGUGCCAACUGCACUGCCGGGUAGCUACGUCGGGAAGAGAUAAGCGCUGAAAGCAUCUAAGUGCGAAACUCCCCUCAAGAUGAGACUUCCGUAUAGGGCCCUCAGAGACGAUGAGGUUGAUAGGCUGCAGGUGUAAAGGCAGUGAUGUCAUAGCCGAGCAGUACUAAUUGCCCGAAAGCUUACCGAA
rnacentral:rRNA from 1 species